UACGUAGGGGGCAAGCGUUGUCCGGAAUUAUUGGGCGUAAAGCGCGCGCAGGCGGCGGCUUAAGUCUCGUGUUUAAGGUUGGAGCUCAACUCCAAUAGGCAGGGGAAACUGGGUCGCUUGAGUGCAGGAGAGGAAAGCGGAAUUCCACGUGUAGCGGUGAAAUGCGUAGAGAUGUGGAGGAACACCAGUGGCGAAGGCGGCUUUCUGGCCUGUAACUGACGCUGAGGCGCGAAAGCGUGGGGAGCAAACAGG
rnacentral:misc_RNA from 1 species